rnacentral:rRNA from 1 species
UACAGAGGGUGCGAGCGUUGUCCGGAAUCACUGGGCGUAAAGGGCGCGUAGGCGGCGUGACAAGUCACUUGUGAAAUCUCUGAGCUUAACUCAGAACGGCCAAGUGAUACUGUUGUGCUAGAGUGCAGAAAGGGCAAUCGGAAUUCUUGGUGUAGCGGUGAAAUGCGUAGAUAUCAAGAGGAACACCUGAGGCGAAGGCGGGUUGCUAGGCUGACACUGACGCUGAGGCGCGAAAGCUAGGGUAGCAAACGGG